GCUGGGUGUGGUGGCAUGUGCCUGUAGUCCCAGCUGCUCGGGAGGCUGAGGUGGGAGGAUCGCUUGAGUCCAGGAGGUUGAGGCUGUGGUGAGCCAUGAUCAUGGCACCACACUCCAGCCUGGGAAACAAAGUGAGACCCUGCCUCAA
rnacentral:SRP_RNA from 1 species